UAGGCAGCCCCCGACAAGAUAUAAGAAUGUCUGGGAAACUGCCUGAUGGAGGGGGCUAACUACUGGAAACGGUAGCUAAUACCGCAUAACGUCGCAAGACCAAAGAGGGGGACCUUCGGGCCUCUUGCCAUCAGAUGUGCCCAGAUGGGAUUAGCUAGUAGGUGGGGUAAUGGCUCACCUAGGCGACGAUCCCUAGCUGGUCUGAGAGGAUGACCAGCCACACUGGAACUGAGACACGGUCCAGACUCCUACGGGAGGCAGCAGUGGGGAAUAUUGCACAAUGGGCGCAAGCGUGAGGCAGCCAUGCCGCGUGUGUGAAGAAGGCCUUCGGGUUGUAAAGCACUUUCAGCGAGGAGGAAGGUGGUGAGCUUAAUACGUUCAUCAAUUGACGUUACUCGCAGAAGAAGCACCGGCUAACUC
rnacentral:rRNA from 1 species